GAUGAACGCUAGCGGCAGGCUUAAUACAUGCAAGUCGAGGGGUAGCAAGAUUGUAGCAAUACAAUUGUUGACGACCGGCAAACGGGUGCGGAACACGUACACAACCUUCCUACAAGUGGGGAAUAGCCCAGAGAGAUUUGGAUUAAUACCCCGUAACAUAGCGAUGUGGCAUCACAUUGCUAUUAUAGCUUCGGCGCUUGUUGAUGGGUGUGCGGCUGAUUAGAUAGUUGGCGGGGUAACGGCCCACCAAGUCUACGAUCAGUAGCUGAUGUGAGAGCAUGAUCAGCCACACGGGCACUGAGACACGGGCCCGACUCCUACGGGAGGCAGCAGUAAGGAAUAUCGGACAAUGGACGCAAGUCUGAUCCAGCCAUGCCGCGUGAAGGAUUAAGGUCCUCUGGAUUGUAAACUUCUUUUAUAAGGGACGAAAAAAGGUCUUUCUAGAUCGUCUGACGGUACCUUAUGAAUAAGCACCGGCUAACUCCGUGCCAGCCGCCGCCGUAAUAC
rnacentral:rRNA from 1 species